UUUGCAUCCAACUUUUAGCUGUAGGAACGUAUGUAACUAAAUCCCAACUAACAUUUUAAAUGCCUAAGAGUUUGGUUGUAUUCACACCUCCACACUAAAGGUUGCUAAAUUCAUUUGAACUUCAUUUUGGGUAGACAUAGAUGUAGCCCUGAAAACGGCCAUAGGCUUUUUUACCUAAGCUUUAAACUUUAAAAAGAGGGAAAGUUAUCGAAUUAAGUUAAUCCACAAAAUAAUACAAUAAGUGACGAUGUUAAAAUCGCGUGAUCUCUUAUCUGAUAUAAUAAUUGAUUACUAUUUAUUGUAUUAGGGACCUACAAACUAUAGCUUAAGGGAUAAUCUUACACUAAUCCAUACUAAUUUAUUAAAGUGGGAACAUUUUUUUGGCUCCGAAACUGUUGAACUGAUUUGAAAAAGUCUUUCACUGUUGGAAAGCUACCUCUUCCCAGGUAACAUGUUUUAUAUUAUUAAUUCUAGGCUGUAUUUUAUCCCCGCAUUAAAUGUAGUCAUUCAAAUAAUGUGUAAGUCCUUCAAUCAAGUAGCAGCUAUAACCAGAUUACUAUGACAUAUACAGGGGCCCGAUUCUGCUAAGUUAACAAUUUCAAAAUUUAAUAGAAAUUGAAUAGCAAUAGCAGUUUUAACCAUAUCGGGCAUUCUGCUACUAAUAUAAGACCAAUCGUAUUCCAAUGACAUUCGAUGGGUUUGCGAUUGGUCGCCCAUUUGGUCUAUACGGGAGUUUGUCUACCAUCAUAUUGUAAUGAUAAUGCGUUUGCAGACAAUAUAAUUAAUUAUUGAAUAACAGAAAAGGAUAAAAAGGUUUAUUUAAAAGAAAAAAUAGUGAAAUGCCACACACGCUUCAAUAGUAAUAGAGUCGUGAUUGGAUCUCAGUCGGAUGUGAAUCGUAUGUCGCUUAAUUCAAAUUAGUAGAAUAGCGCCCCAGACUAGAUGAGGAAAUUAUUUUGAAAAUUAGUGAAUUAAUUACCAUCGUCUCAAUGCUAGUUUGUCAAAUCUUUAAUUCAGUUUAGACGUGUUUGUACAAAAUGAAGUUUUCCAACUUGACAAUUUUGUUUUUGAUACUAUGUAUUUUCUACGUGGAAGUGAAACCUACCUUCUUGCCAAAAUCUCGGCUUAAAGCUAUUUAUUCUAAAGCCCAGAAUCAGACAGUAGUGAAAAUGUCUCGGAAACAUCGUAGAGGAUGAAAUUAAUAAAUUAAAAUCAAACAUA